UUGGGAGGAAGCUUGGGAAGCGGAGGGCACGGCUUCUUCGUAAAUGGAGGAAUCUUCGGAAGAGGAGGAAGUGGCUUGUGAGGAAUAGGAGGGAAGGGUUUCGGUUUGUAAAUAGGAACCGGCGGUGGAAGCGGCUUCUUAUAAACCGGCACCGGAUGAGGCUUAUAAACCGGUGGUUUGUAGACAGGAACCGGCGGUGGAAGCGGCUUCUUGUAGACCGGCACCGGAUGAGGCUUAUAAACCGGUGGUUUGUAGACAGGAACCGGCGGAGGGAGUGGUUUCUUGUAGACCGGCACCGGAUGAGGCUUAUAAACCGGUGGUGGAAGAGGUUUCUUGUAGAUGGGAGGGUGAGGGUAAUGAUGGUGGAAGUUUUUCAAUGGCGGAAGUGGUGGAAGCUUAGGCAAUGGAGGGAAGUUGUGGUGGUGGUGAGGCCAAAAGGAGGCUGAGACACAUGUUAUUGGUGAGAAUUUGAGGUUCUCUUUUAACCCAAACUGGUGUUUCUGGUCGGUGGUGGAUUUGAAAACUAGCUUAGAGGAUUCUAAGCCAUUAAUGGAAGGGCAAGGUUGAGGUGAUGAUACAGUGCGAAGCUGUGCGUAGCAAUGUUCAUUCAAUU
rnacentral:lncRNA from 1 species